UCCUCUGGAACUGAGUUACAGAUGGUGUGAGCUGCCACAUGGGUGUUGGGAACCCAGGUCCUCUGCAGGAGGAGCAAGCGUGCUUAACCGCUGAGCCAUCUCUACAGCCCGUACCCACAGCCCUGGAAAACAUUCUUUGUGAUAAACUUGGUGAACGAGAACGUUUCCCUGAGCUUUGUGGGCUGUGCAAAUCAGCGGAGCCGGAAGAAGAGUCUUAGCGGAGCCGGAAGAAGAGUCUUAGUGGAGCCGGAAGAAGAGCUUAGGAACUCUUAACAUGUGGCUGACCUGUGUGACUUGUGACUGAUUUGAAGCGGUGACUGUGGGAAUUGACCCCGUCUGCAGUCCUGAGUGUUCGCCCUGGGUGCACAGGCAUCAUUGUUUGGAGGAAGCACCUGGACUUGACCUGGGCCUGCACGGAGUUCUGUGCUGUUCCUGCAGGAGGUACACCGCCUUGAAUCCGCUACCAAACCCUUUGGUAGUGACACCUGGGGUGGUUGCUGGGUCCGGAAGGAUAAUGCAUGAUUAAUACUGUAGCGGAGUACAGCCCGUCUGUAACUGGUGUUCAGAACAGGGAAGAGGAGUGAGAGAUCUCAUUUGUCUGGCUGCUGGGUUUCCAGUGAGGGAGCUAUUGGGAACACCCUGGUAUAAGGACGCCAGAAUACUGCUCCCCACAAUGGUGAGAGCAUCCCCACCCCCUGCUUCUGAUUUGAAAGACCAAGUGUGACAAAUUGAUGACAAGGUUGGGUUGGGAUGGCAGCGCUGUGUCUAGGUGUUCAGAGUGUAGCCUUCCUCACUGUGAUUCUGAGCGGGUGGUGCCGGUGCCUGUAGUUGGCCUGGCUGGGAUUGUUCUGAGGUUCCCUUUGUGUUGGUCACAGCAUGUCUAGUUGAGACUGUCGAAUGUAAAGUAGGGGACCCAGCAUUGUCCUAAGAGAAGGGGACAUAGGGUGCACUGUGCACCUCCACGGGAGGCACACUGCUCAGGUGCCCCGGAACUGACGCGUACAGGUGGGGUUGACUCUUCUGAGAUGAGGGUCUGAUGUUCAGGUGCCCAAGGAACUGGCCUGGCAGAGGUGGGGUGAGGGCCUGAGAGUCGCAGUGAGCAGGUGCCAGCAUGAACUUCCUGACAGACCCGGCUUUGCUGGCAGUAGCAUUCUGCACACAUGCCUCUGGGGCCUGGCUGGGGCAGCUACUUCUCUCACAGUGUGUGUUCAGCACUUUCCAAGUUACCCUUUGCUUUGUGCUUGAAACCUUGGCCAGCUCCUUCUGGGACCCGUCUGGAGCAUUUUCCUCUCGUAUUCCCUUUCUACAGACCAGCCUCUCAGCAAGGCCCUUCUUUGGGAUUAUUGUUUAUAUUUAUUUUAUUUUUGUUUUUGCUUGUUUGUUUGUUUAUGUAUUUACUUGAGACAGAGUUUCUCUGUGUAGCCCUGGCUGUCCUGGAACUCAUUCUCUAGACAGGGAUCUGCCUGUGGCUGCCUCCCAAGUACUGGGAUUAAAGGCAUGUGUCGCCAUGACUGGUUGGGACAGGAUUUUGGGGCAUAGCAACCGAACAGGAUAUGCUCCUGGAACCUCAACUGAGAGUGUGUUCCUGGGCUGGUGGGUGGAGUGCUUGGCUGGCAGGGACCUCUACCCAAGGAGCAGGCCUCUGGACUCUGUGUAUGGGUCUCAUCUCAGGUCCCUUCCAGAGAUGAGAUGGGUGUGGAGACACACCCAUGCUGGUGAGCUGGGCUGUGCAGCUCAUACCAGCAGCUUUCAGACCCAUCUGGCCCUUGGGUCGUCAGUGAUGAGUCAGGGUUUGACCCUUCCCAGAGUGACUCCAAGCUCAAUCUUGGGCAAGCGUGUAGGCAGAGUGUAUCCUGGCCAAACAGGAUUGCAGCAGGAGGCUAGUGUACUUACCCGCAGGCCUCUAGCCUCUGCCCGCAGGGUGGGAAGAAGGAAGCCUAGAUUCUGUCCUGUUUCUCGGGUUGUCUCUACCGCCUGAGUCAUCUUGAUAAAAAAUUCACAAACUUGGUGCCUCAGAGUCUUGGUGGUUCUGUCUCCAGGGCAUUUGUGAGUCUGAAUCACCUAAAGGAUGGUUUGUUUUCUUUUGAGACGGGCCCCAGUGUGCAGCUCACGUUGGUCUGGAGGUGGCCAUGCACUCCUGGCUGGCUUUGAACAUCUGCUGAAGCUUCCCAAAUGAUGGGGCUGUGGGCGUGCACCUCCAGGCCCAGCUUGCUCCUGUUUCCUGUUUAAGUUCAAACAGACUUUAUAGAGACCCUGAUUUUUGAAAGAUAGUUCUGUAACUU